rnacentral:rRNA from 1 species
UACGGAGGAUCCAAGCGUUAUCCGGAUUUAUUGGGUUUAAAGGGUGCGUAGGCGGCCUGUUAAGUCAGGGGUGAAAGACGGUAGCUCAACUAUCGCAGUGCCCUUGAUACUGACGGGCUUGAAUGAACUAGAGGUAGGCGGAAUGUGACAAGUAGCGGUGAAAUGCAUAGAUAUGUCACAGAACACCGAUUGCGAAGGCAGCUUACUAUGGUUUUAUUGACGCUGAGGCACGAAAGCGUGGGGGAUCAAACAGG